rnacentral:tRNA from 1 species
CAAUCUAAAGCUAAAAUAGCAUUAUUAUUUACAUUAAUAAUUUGGUUGUGGGAUACGGCCUGGAUUGA